rnacentral:lncRNA from 1 species
CCUAUCUGGUAUUCUAGAAAGAAAAGAUGCUAUUCGGUGCAACUGUGACUAUGCUGCCCUGUGCCCAGCUGAAACACUCGCUUCCUCCGGCUCCCUGCCACCGAAGGUGCCCUUUGGGUACAGCUGUGAAAAGCCAAGAGAGCAAUGAAGAUCGUGUGUACCAGAACACUGAGUAACAAAAAUCCUAUUCCUGGACUACAGAAUCUGUUUUCUCCACCCAAGAAUUCUAACCUGCACAGUAAGUGAUGUAAUGUCAA